GAUAAAUUGGACAUUAUUCCUUUAAACAACCUGAUCCAUUCACAUCAAUCAAAUAAAGGAAACUUGAGUUCCUUUACAUUCCACGAAAAUAGUUGCCAGGUGCCUUUAUAUCUCCCGAUCCAAGCAUGAAUUCUCUGGUUUCAGCGUUAUAGUUUCUACAGUCUCUCGCACUAAAUGUUAAAUGUAACAUCCCACCUAUUUAGUGGAUGCCUUCAU
rnacentral:misc_RNA from 1 species